rnacentral:tRNA from 1 species
GGGGGAUUAGCUCAUUUGGUAGAGCACCUGCUUUGCACGCAGGGGGUGAGGAGUUCGAUUCUCCUAUCCUCCA